rnacentral:rRNA from 1 species
UACGUAGGUGGCGAGCGUUGUCCGGAAUUAUUGGGCGUAAAGCGCGCGUAGGCGGGAUAUUAAGUCUCAUUUAAAAGUGCGGGGCUCAACCCCGUGAUGGGUGAGAAACUAAUAUUCUUGAGUGCCGGAGAGGAAAGCGGAAUUCCCAGUGUAGCGGUGAAAUGCGUAGAUAUUGGGAGGAACACCAGUGGCGAAGGCGGCUUUCUGGACGGUGUCUGACGCUGAGGCGCGAAAGCCAGGGGAGCGAACG